rnacentral:rRNA from 1 species
AACGAACGCUGGCGGCGCGCCUAAUACAUGCAAGUCGAGCGAGAAGACGUAGCAAUACGUUUGUAAAGCGGCGAACGGGUGAGGAAUACAUGGGUAACCUACCCUCGAGUGGGGAAUAACUAGCCGAAAGGUUAGCUAAUACCGCGUACGCUCCUUGGACUUCGGUUCAGGGAGGAAAGCGAUACCGUGGGUAUCGCGCUCUUGGAUGGGCUCAUGUCCUAUCAGCUUGUUGGUGAGGUAACGGCUCACCAAGGCUUCGACGGGUAGCUGGUCUGAGAGGACAAUCAGCCACACUGGCACUGCGACACGGGCCAGACUCCUACGGGAGGCAGCAGUAAGGAAUAUUGCGCAAU